rnacentral:rRNA from 1 species
CUACGGGUCGCACCAGUCGCGGAACUUUUACAAUGCACGCAAGUGUGAUAAAGCGAACCAAAGUGCUAUUCGUUUAGAAUAGCUUUUUUUCAACGUAAAAACUUGGAAGAAUAAGGACUGGGAAAGACCGGUGCCAGCCGCCGCGGUAAUACCGGCAGUUCAAGUUGCAUCCAGUUUUAUUGGGUCUAAAACAUCCGUAGCUUGCCACUUAAGUCUCUUGUGAAAUCUCACGUCUCAAGCGUGGUGAAGUGCAGGAGAUACUGGGUGGCUAGAGAUCGGUAGACGUAAGCAGUACGGGACGGGUAACGGUCAAAUGUGUUAAUCCGUCUUGGACUAACAAUCAGCGAAGGCAGCUUACGAGGACGAAUCUGACAGUGAGGGAUGAAGGCCAGGGGCGCAAAACGGAUUAGAUACCCCAGUAGUC